rnacentral:rRNA from 1 species
GGGCCCGCACAAGCGGUGGAGCAUGUGGUUUAAUUCGAUGAUACGCGAGGAACCUUACCAGGGCUUAAAUGCAGAAUGACAGAUUGGGAAACCAGUCCUUCUUCGGACAUUUUGCAAGGUGCUGCAUGGUUGUCGUCAGCUCGUGCCGUGAGGUGUCAGGUUAAGUCCUAUAACGAGCGCAACCCCUAUCAUUAGUUGCCAGCGGGUAAUGCCGGGAACUCUAAUGAGACUGCCAGCGCAAGCUGCGAGGAAGGUGGGGAUGACGUCAAAUCAUCACGGCCCUUACGUCCUGGGCUACACACGUGCUACAAUGGUGGGGACAACGAGUCGCAAACCCGCGAGGGUAAGCUAAUCUCUUAAAGCUUGUCUCAGUUCGGAUAGGAGUCUGCAACUCGACUCCUUGAAGUUGGAGUC